rnacentral:rRNA from 1 species
AACGAACGCUGGCGGCAGGCUUAACACAUGCAAGUCGAGCGCCCCGCAAGGGGAGCGGCAGACGGGUGAGUAACGCGUGGGAAUCUACCUUUUGCUACGUAAUAACGCAGGGAAACUUGUGCUAAUACCGUAUGUGCCCUUCGGGGGAAAGAUUUAUCGGCAAAGGAUGAGCCCGCGUUGGAUUAGCUAGUUGGGGGGGUAAAGGCCUACCAAGGCGACGAUCCAUAGCUGGUCUGAGAGGAUGAUCAGCCACAUUGGGACUGAGACACGGCCCAAACUCCUACGGGAGGCAGCAGUGGGGAAUAUUGGACAAUGGGCGCAAGCCUGAUCCAGCCAUGCCGCGUGAGUGAUGAAGGCCUUAGGGUUGUAAAGCUCUUUCACCGGUGAAGAUAAUGACGGUAACCGGAGAAGAAGCCCCGGCUAACUUCGUGCCAGCAGCCGCGGUAACAC